rnacentral:tRNA from 1 species
GUUAAUGCAAUUGACUUAGGAUCAAUAGACAUAGGUGAAACUCCUUUAUUUAAC